rnacentral:rRNA from 1 species
AGCGAACGCUGGCGGCAGGCCUAACACAUGCAAGUCGAACGGAUCCUUCGGGAUUAGUGGCGGACGGGUGAGUAACACGUGGGAACGUGCCCUUUGGUUCGGAACAACUCAGGGAAACUUGAGCUAAUACCGGAUGUGCCCUUCGAGGGAAAGAUUUAUCGCCAUUGGAGCGGCCCGCGUCUGAUUAGCUAGUUGGUGGGGUAAAGGCCCACCAAGGCGACGAUCAGUAGCUGGUCUGAGAGGAUGAUCAGCCACAUUGGGACUGAGACACGGCCCAAACUCCUACGGGAGGCAGCAGUGGGGAAUCUUGCGCAAUGGGCGAAAGCCUGACGCAGCCAUGCCGCGUGAAUGAUGAAGGUCUUAGGAUUGUAAAAUUCUUUCACCGGGGACGAUAAUGACGGUACCCGGAGAAGAAGCCCCGGCUAACUUCGUGCCAGCAGCCGCCGUAACAC